rnacentral:rRNA from 1 species
CAAUAGCGUAUAUUAUUGCUGUUGCAGUUGAAACGUUCGUAGUCGAAUAUUGCCCACUUCAGCUUUGCCCCGUUGUUUGCGGAGCGUUGUGAUCGGUGGGGAGAGUGCAGCCAAUCGGGAGUUUCUCCUGGUUGCUCCUGCACCCUACUUUGAGUGAAUCGGCGUGUUCCACGCAGGCUAGUGCCUUGAACGAUUUACCAUAGUAUAACCAGAGUAUGAGGGUGUUUCCUUGUGGGUUCGGAAGCUCUUUCGACAACGAAAAGAACGGUUGAGGGCAUUCGUAUUCAACUGCUAGAGGUGAAAUUCUUUGAUUAGUUGAGGACGAACCAGUGCGAAAGCAUCUGCCAAGGACGUUUCUGUUGA